rnacentral:rRNA from 1 species
CCCUACGGGGCGCAGCAGGCGCGAAACCUCCGCAAUGUGAGCAAUCGCGACGGGGGGAUUCCAAGUGCCAUUCUUAACGGGAUGGCUUUUCAUUAGUGUAAAGAGCUUUUGGAAUAAGAGCUGGGCAAGACCGGUGCCAGCCGCCGCGGUAACACCGGCAGCUCUAGUGGUAGCAGUUUUUAUUGGGCCUAAAGCGUCCGUAGCCGGUUUAAUAAGUCUCUGGUGAAAUCUUGCAGCUUAACUGUGGGAAUUGCUGGAGAUACUAGUAGGCUUGAGAUCGGAGAGGUAGA